AUGAACGCUGGCGGCGUGCCUAAUACAUGCCAGUCGCGCGAACAGACGAGGAGCUUGCUCCUCUGACGUUAGCGGCGGACGGGUGAGUAACACGUGGAUAACCUACCUAUAAGACUGGGAUAACUUCGGGAAACCGGAGCUAAUACCGGAUAAUAUAUUGAACCGCAUGGUUCAAUAGUGAAAGACGGUUUUGCUGUCACUUAUAGAUGGAUCCGCGCCGCAUUAGCUAGUUGGUAAGGUAACGGCUUACCAAGGCAACGAUGCGUAGCCGACCUGAGAGGGUGAUCGGCCACACUGGAACUGAGACACGGUCCAGACUCCUACGGGAGGCAGCAGUAGGGAAUCUUCCGCAAAGGGCGAAAGCCUGACGGAGCAACGCCGCGUGAGUGAUGAAGGUCUUCGGAUCGUAAAACUCUGUUAUUAGGGAAGAACAAAUGUGUAAGUAACUAUGCACGUCUUGACGGUACCUAAUCAGAAAGCCACGGCUAACUACGUG
rnacentral:rRNA from 1 species